CAGCUGUGGCUAAUUAAGAGGGCUGUGGUUAAUUUGCAGGGGUUGUGGAAGCCUAGGGCUUUAAAGUGGUUCAGAGGAAAGAGCAAGGGUGGGGAAAAUAGUGGUGUUCUGGGAUGACUACUGAGGUAAGCUGUCUGGGGAAAAAAAAAAACCAGCAGGAAGGGAAGCAGUGAGAGGCUCCUCCUGAAAGAGUCUGGCACCAGAGGCCUGGCAGAAAGCACUAGGAGAUGAGACUGCACUGGGGUACUGAGAGGGACAGUUGCCAAAAUGAGUGUGUGAGGGAACUUGUGGCAGGAGCUCCUGGACAAAAUGUAUCGUUAGAAAACUUUGAUGACCAAAUGGUUGAAUGGUACUUUCUUCCAUGCAUCAACCAAUUCAAGAUCUUCACGAUGAGCCACGCAGCGCUGUUUUACUAAAUAUGGAAUGCACUGCUUCAGUCUUGUGGCAACACCACUGUUUUUCCGUAGCAUAACAGAAGCGCCGUCUGAAGUAAACAUCACCUUUUCAUCAUGUCCAGUCUAUUCAGAGUGUAAUAGCUUCUGCAUUACAAGCAGUGAGGUUGACAAUCCCACCAAAUACUGUCUGGUGCACUGUAGCAGGUGUUGCAUAUCUGAACUUGAAGUACGAUAUAAGCUUUUUAGUAACAGAAAUAUCUGUGCUUUCAUCAUUAAUAAGCAUAUGAUAGAAAGACCCACAAAUCCCUGACAUGACCUCUGCAUAUACGACAGCAUUGAUUGACUCAAAAGCAUAAUUUUUGCCACGCCAGCUCGCUGGUCUCUGCACAUAUUUUCCAGUGUGCUCAUUUAUAGUUUGCACAGAGUUCAUGGAGUUGUUCAUCUGUAUUGCAAGCAAGACAUUGUCUAUAAGAAGUUUAAUUUCUUCUGGUUUUGCACAUUGUCUUUCCAUCAGUUUCUCUGUCAGCCUUGGUUUGUGAUAGCUGGUUUUUCAAGCUAGAUGUACCAAAGUUGAUGCUCCUAAGGAUAUGAACAGCAGAUUCAUGACUUUUGGUCAAUAAGUGCCUCUUCAGGCAGUCCAGCUUCCACCCAUCUUCUCAUUUUUUUGUCAGUAGAGAAGUCACUGGAUAUUUUGGCUUCAGCACAUGUCUUGCAAAGAAAAUGGCGAUGCUUACUUCAGACGGCGCUUCUGUUAUAAUCUGUUAUCAAGUCCAUAUCAUCAUUGUGCUGGUAUAUUUCUCUCCGCUUUACGUGAACCUUGCCUUUGGAUUUGUGGAAUUCUGUUUUUACUGUUUCAUCCAGCCACUCUGCUUUUGAACGAGAGACAGGAUUUCUAUGCUUUGGGCCUUUGGCUCGAUGAUGCCGUUGGCUUGUGUUUAGGCAUGGCUGGUAAAAAGAAAGUUGUGUUAAGGAUUAUCAUAUUCAAUUUCUUCACAGGAAUUGAAGAGUCAAUGUUAAUAUGUUUUGUUUUGUAUUAGAAGCUGCUGCUGGCCAAUUUCCUUUAUCUGCUUUCUGUUUUAAUAGUAAUUGGUGGUUAGAAGGGGCCUAUAACAAAAUAAUAUUUUUGUAUUGAGUAAUAAAAUUAAAUCAUAAUAAUUAUUGAAUUAUAAUUUUAGGUUUUGUUUUAUUAAAUAAAAUAAAAAUAAAUAAUUAAUUCCUUGU